rnacentral:rRNA from 1 species
AUUGAACGCUGGCGGCAGGCCUAACACAUGCAAGUCGAGCGGAUGAAGGGAGCUUGCUCCUGGAUUCAGCGGCGGACGGGUGAGUAAUGCCUAGGAAUCUGCCUGGUAGUGGGGGAUAACGUCCGGAAACGGGCGCUAAUACCGCAUACGUCCUGAGGGAGAAAGUGGGGGAUCUUCGGACCUCACGCUAUCAGAUGAGCCUAGGUCGGAUUAGCUAGUUGGUGGGGUAAAGGCCUACCAAGGCGACGAUCCGUAACUGGUCUGAGAGGAUGAUCAGUCAGACUGGAACUGAGACACGGUCCAGACUCCUACGGGAGGCAGCAGUGGGGAAUAUUGGACAAAGGGCGAAAGCCUGAUCCAGCCAUGCCGCGUGUGUGAAGAAGGUCUUCGGAUUGUAAAGCACUUUAAGUUGGGAGGAAGGGCAGUAAGUUAAUACCUUGCUGUUUUGACGUUACCAACAGAAUAAGCACCGGCUAACUUCGUG